rnacentral:rRNA from 1 species
AUUGAACGCUGGCGGCAGGCCUAACACAUGCAAGUCGAACGAGUGGCGGACGGGUGAGUAAUGUCUGGGAAACUGCCUGAUGGAGGGGGAUAACUACUGGAAACGGUAGCUAAUACCGCAUACCAUCAGAUGUGCCCAGAUGGGAUUUGCUUGUGGGUGGGGUAACGGCUCACCAGGGCGACGAUCCCUAGCUGGUCUGAGAGGAUGACCAGCCACACGGGAACUGGGACAGGGUCCAGACGCCUACGGGGGGCAGCAGUGGGAAACAUGGCACAAGGGGCGCAAGCCUGAUGCAGCCAUGCCGCGGUGAUGAAGAGGGCCUUGGGGUGGUAAAGUACGUUCAGCGGGGAGGCGUUACCCGCAGAAGAAGCACCGGCUAACUACGUGCCAGCAGCCGCGGUAAUUC